UCUCUCUCUCAUAUUCAUAUAUAAGUAAUGUUGGAAUCUUGUCCAUCUCUGUACAAUUGAGAUAAUGAGGGGCUUAAUGAAGCAAAUAUAGUGUCUCAUAUUCAUAUAUAAGUAAUGUUGGAAUCUUGUCCAUCUCUGUACAAUUGAGAUAAUGAGGGGCUUAAUGAAGCAAAUAUAGUGACAUGUAGUAGGUAAUAUUUUCUCCAAGAUUUUAAGAAUUAUAUGAAAAUUAUCAUCAAGAAAUUAGAAGUAGCCCCCCUUUUGGCACAUGUGGUCAUUUUUUUAAAAUAAUAUUUCCAAUAUCGUAUUAACAAAAAAAAUAAAGACUAGAGAUAAAAAAUAAGGAUGUGGUUUGUAUAAGGUUGUGGCCCUAAAUAAUAAAAGUAAGGUGCACAUUCAAUAGUAUUUAAAGAUGUUGGUUAAGUACAGAAAAUCUUUAUGAUUGCCAAAAAAUUUACUUUUAUAUUUAACUAUGAAAUUUAAAGCUUAAAAAAUAGUGUCGAUCGAGCAAAUCUAUAUAUACUUGAAAAUCUUAAACGUUGAUGGUCCUAAAAAUGCAUUACAAGAUGUACUAUUUUCAACACUUGAAAUCCAGAGAGAGUAGACAUAGGUGUAGAUACCUCGAACCUGAUGGAGAAAAUCAUGGAAGACCAAAAAUCCUCGGGCAGGCCAUCUAGAAACUUGAACUCAUCAUAAGCCAAUGGUAAGAAGGAAAAAGGGAAUAAAAGUCGCAAGAAGAAGAGGAGCCUUGCUCAAUCAUUCCCAAGUACAAAAAGAAAAAGAUAUCUUCUAUCACAUGACUCACCAUAGGUUUCAACAUGGUUUGGUGGUUUUCCCAUGGUUAUACACAUAAUUUUCAACAUGUUUUGGUGGUUUCUCCAUGGUUAUACACAGUUUUCAACAUGGUUUGAUGGUUUUCCCAUGGUUAGAUUCAUGUAAUAUGGUUUUCAACAUGGUUUGGUGGUUCUCAUGGUUAGACUCAUAUGAUAUGGUUCUUUGGGCUUGGUUAAACUCAUCUAAUAUGGUUGUUUGAGUUGGACUUGUGAAGGGACUGCACAAUUUUGAGCUAGUUGUUUUCUUAUGUUCCAUUUAAGUUGAAUUUGUAGGAGAACUUUGGUUGUAAUUUAUGUUCCAUUAUUAUUUUAAUUGAUG
rnacentral:lncRNA from 1 species